rnacentral:rRNA from 1 species
UACGUAGGUGGCAAGCGUUGUCCGGAAUCAUUGGGCGUAAAGGGCGUGUAGGUGGGAACACCAGUCCAUCUUAAAAGUGCGGGGCUCAACCCCGUGAUGGGAUGGAAACUGUGUUUCUUGAGUGCCGGAGAGGAAAGCGGAAUUCCCAGUGUAGCAGUGAAAUGCGUAGAUAUUGGGAGGAACACCAGUGGCGAAGGCGGCUUUCUGGACGGUGUCUGACACUGAGGCGCGAAAGCCAGGGGAGCGAACG